rnacentral:rRNA from 1 species
GGGCCCGCACAAGCGGUGGAGUAUGUGGUUUAAUUCGAUGCAACGCGAAGAACCUUACCAGGGUUUGACAUCCUGCGAAUCUCUUGGAAACAGGAGAGUGCCUUCGGGAACGCAGUGACAGGUGGUGCAUGGCUGUCGUCAGCUCGUGUCGUGAGAUGUUGGGUUAAGUCCCGCAACGAGCGCAACCCACGUCUUUAGUUGCCAGCAUUUAGUUGGGCACUCUAGAGAGACUGCCGGUGAUAAACCGGAGGAAGGUGGGGAUGACGUCAAAUCAUCAUGCCCCUUACAUCCUGGGCUACACACGUACUACAAUGCUACGGACAAAGGGCAGCAAACUCGCGAGAGCUAGCAAAUCCCAUAAACCGUGGCUCAGUUCAGAUCGUAGGCUGCAACUCGCCUACGUGAAGGCGGAAUCGCUAGUAAUCGCAGGU